GAUGAAGAGGAGGAGGGAACUGAAACAGAAACAGAGGAAGAGGAGUUGGAAGAAGUGAAUGAGAGAGGAGGAGUAGGUAGCGGUGCUGGUAGUGGACAAGUGAGGUUUGUGAUGGAGCAAGCACCAAAAUUGUCAGGUGGGGUGAUAAAUGUGCAUAGGUUAGCACUUAUGAUGAAUAAGCCCAUGGCGUUAGUUAAUAGGAACCCAACAUGGCCUAACAAGUUCGAUGAAAUGGUGAAAUUUGAAGAGGGUGUUGAGGAGGCAGUGAACCCAAUUACCCCAGUGACACAGUCACUCCCACCGCGGCCGCCAGUGUCUCGGAUGAUCCCCAUGCCGACAGGGGCAGCGGCUGCCGUGACAGCAAAAGCAGCAGCGUCGCUUAAUGCUUAUGAGUACUAUUGGAAGCCCAAGCCCAUGACAGCCAUCACCACAACAGCAGCAGCAGCAUCACUUUGUCCCAUGACUCAAAAAUCACAAUCAACAAGGAGCAACGACAACAAUAACAAAUUCAUCCUCUCAAAGAAUUUAAUAUCAAAAGAGAAGCAAGAAUUGCUAGUAUUGAGAGGGAACAAAGGGGAAUACUUAGUUCCUUUGUCAAAGAGUUGCAAGGAGGCAAGGAGGUCUCUUUUGUUUGGGGAGCCCUAUUGCAUUGCCACGUCUUGAUCCACAAAAUUAAAAAAAAAAAA
rnacentral:misc_RNA from 1 species